rnacentral:rRNA from 1 species
UACGUAGGGGGCAAGCGUUGUCCGGAAUGAUUGGGCGUAAAGGGCGCGUAGGCGGCCGCGUAAGUCCGAUGUGAAAGUCCUGCUUUUAAGGUGGGAAUUGCAUUGGAAACUGUGCGGCUUGAGUGCAGGAGAGGUAAGUGGAAUUCCCGGUGUAGCGGUGAAAUGCGUAGAGAUCGGGAGGAACACCAGUGGCGAAGGCGACUUACUGGACUGUAACUGACGCUGAGGCGCGAAAGUGUGGGGAGCAAACAGGAUUAGAUACCCUGGUAGUCCACACUGUAAACGAUGAAUGCUAGGUGUAGGAGGUAUCGACCCCUUCUGUGCCGGAGUCAACACAAUAAGCAUUCCGCCUGGGGAGUACGGCCGCAAGGUUG